CCUACGGGAGGCAGCAGUAGGGAAUAUUGCUCAAUGGGGGAAACCCUGAAGCAGCAAUGCCGCGUGGAGGAUGAAGGUUUUCGGAUUGUAAACUCCUUUUGUUAGAGAAGAUAAUGACGGUAUAUAACGACUAAGCACUGGUUCACUACGUGCCAGCAGCCGCGGUAAUACGGAGGGUGCAAGCGUUACUCGGAAGCAAUGGGCGUAAAGCGCGAGUAGGCGGGAUAGAAAGGCAGAGGUGAAAUCCUAUGGCUUAACCAUAGAACUGCAUUUGAAACUGGUAUUAUAGAGUAUGUGAGAGGUGGGUGGAAUUCUUGGGGUAGGGGUGAAAUGCGUAGAGAUGAAGAGGAAUACUCAUUGCGAAGGCAGCCUGGUGGAACAUAACUGACGCUCAUGCGCGAAAGCGUGGGGAGCAAACAGGAUUAGAUACCCGUGUAGUC
rnacentral:rRNA from 1 species